AACGAACGCUGGCGGCAGGCUUAACACAUGCAAGUCGAACGCCCCGCAAGGGGAGUGGCAGACGGGUGAGUAACACGUGGGAACAUGCCCAAAGGUACGGAAUAUUCUCGGGAAACUGAGAGCAAUACCGUAUGUGCCCGAAAGGGGAAAGAUUUAUCGCCUUUGGAUUGGCCCGCGUCGGAUUAGCUAGUUGGUGGGGUAAAAGCCUCCCAAGGCGACGAUCCGUAGCUGGUCUGAGAGGACGACCAGCCACACUGGGACUGAGACACGGCCCAGACUCCUACGGGAGGCAGCAGUGGGGAAUCUUGGACAAUGGGCGCAAGCCUGAUCCAGCCAUGCCGCGUGGAUGAUGAAGGCCCUAGGGUUGUAAAAUCCUUUCGUUGGGGACGAUAAUGACGGUACCCAAAGAAGAAGCUCCGGCUAACUUCGUG
rnacentral:rRNA from 1 species